rnacentral:rRNA from 1 species
CGGGUGAGUAACGCGUGGGUAACCUGCCUUAUACAGGGGGAUAACAGUCAGAAAUGGCCGCUAAUACCGCAUAAGCGCACAGAGCUGCAUGGCUCAGUGUGAAAAACUCCGGUGGUAUAAGAUGGACCCGCGUUGGAUUAGCUUGUUGGUGGGGUAACGGCCCACCAAGGCGACGAUCCAUAGCCGGCCUGAGAGGGUGAACGGCCACAUUGGGACUGAGACACGGCCCAG